rnacentral:rRNA from 1 species
UACGGAGGGUGCGAGCGUUGUUCGGAAUCACUGGGCGUAAAGCGCGUGUAGGCGGCCUCUUAAGUCUGGUGUGAAAGCCCGGGGCUCAACCCCGGAAGGGCACUGGAGACUGGGAGGCUUGAGUACCGGAGAGGAAGGUGGAAUUCCUGGUGUAGCGGUGAAAUGCGUAGAUAUCAGGAGGAACACCGGUGGCGAAGGCGGCCUUCUGGACGGCUACUGACGCUGAGACGCGAAAGCGUGGGGAGCAAACAGG